rnacentral:snoRNA from 15 species
AAGACUGUACUUUCUAGGAUCAUUUCUAUAGUACACGUCCCGUCUUUCUUCUCCAAAGAAGACAACCGCAUCAACCAUGAGGAGGAUUAAUAACGUUCUUUCCUGAGCGGGAAGCGGGCGAUAUUGUUCCAGUCUGGAAUGAUAUUGUCAUUGAUGACCGUUCUCGUUGUACUAUUGCAGUAUUUCGGGAGGGAAGGAACGUAUUCUGAGUGGU